rfam:Camelus ferus unplaced genomic scaffold scaffold113, whole genome shotgun sequence.
GCGGGUAUAGCUUAGUGGUACAGCACGUGCUUGAUGUGCACAAGGCCCUGGGUUCAAUCCCCAGUGCCUCCA